rnacentral:siRNA from 1 species
UGAGAAUGGAUCUGUUUCUC